AUUGAACGCUGGCGGCAGGCCUAACACAUGCAAGUCGAGCGGAGAUGAGGUGCUUGCACCUUAUCUUAGCGGCGGACGGGUGAGUAAUGCUUAGGAAUCUGCCUAUUAGUGGGGGACAACAUUCCGAAAGGAAUGCUAAUACCGCAUACGUCCUACGGGAGAAAGCAGGGGAUCUUCGGACCUUGCGCUAAUAGAUGAGCCUAAGUCGGAUUAGCUAGUUGGUGGGGUAAAGGCCUACCAAGGCGACGAUCUGUAGCGGGUCUGAGAGGAUGAUCCGCCACACUGGGACUGAGACACGGCCCAGACUCCUACGGGAGGCAGCAGUGGGGAAUAUUGAACAAUGGGGGGAACCCUGAUCCAGCCAUGCCGCGUGUGUGAAGAAGGCCUUAUGGUUGUAAAGCACUUUAAGCGAGGAGGAGGCUACUGAGACUAAUACUCUUGGAUAGUGGACGUUACUCGCAGAAUAAGCACCGGCUAACUCUGUGCCAGCAGCCGCGGUAA
rnacentral:rRNA from 1 species